UUUUUUCUUACUUCUAUAAGUACCCUACCAGAAAUCCUGAGGUCUUCACACUAGUGACCUGAAACCAGAGCGAUGACCCUUCAAAGAGAACACGUUUUUGACUUGAUCGACAAUGGGCUUCAUUCAACCGAAUAUCAACUUGAAGAUUUGUACUCAGGCGAGGAAAUAGGUUCUACAAGGGAGAAUGGCAUUCCAUCAGCGCAGGUUGUAGAUCUCACAGGAGAAGUCGAUGGUGCGAGCGAUUGUGAACGGUACUUUAUGCAGGGUCUCUCCCCUACC